rnacentral:rRNA from 1 species
UACGAGGGGGGCAAGCGUUGUUCGGAAUUAUUGGGCGUAAAGGGUGCGUAGGCGGUUUGGUAAGUCUUAUGUGAAAUCUACAGGCUCAACUUGUAGUCUGCAUGAGAAACUGCCGGGCUUGAGUAUGGGAGAGGUGAGUGGAAUUCCUGGUGUAGCGGUGAAAUGCGUAGAGAUCGGGAGGAAGGCCGGUGGCGAAGGCGGCGCUCUGGAACAUUUCUGACGCUGAGGAGCGAAAGCGUGGGGAGCGAACAGG